AUCUUGUUGGAGAUGCCUGUGUAUCUGAGGUCUUCUGAAGCCCUACAGAGAAAAAGAGGAAUGAAGCGUCAUCACCUAUUUUCUUCCUCCUGCCACCCUGCAAAAUGAGAAGUUGCACACUUCUGAAGGAUUACUGCCAGAGGCUACUGCCUCCUCUGGUCUCCCAGUUCAGGUGCCUCCCAGGUUAUCUUUGAUCUUGCUGAUAAAACUGUCCUAACAUUAGAGCUGAAAUCUCACCUUGCACGUAAAGGACCUUGUGCGCACGCAGUGUCUUUUCUGGCUUAUCAAAGACAGUUUUAAAAAGAGAAAUGUUAAGGAAACUUUACUGAAUGAGAUCUCCAGUGUCAGAACCCCCAGAUACUAUGUGAGAUGACAGGCAAAAAGGUGGAGACAGGGCAGACGCCUGUAUUCUCCUGUGCUGCCUGACAGGUGUCUGUCUGUCUGUCCCAGAUUCGUGCUCCAGAGCUGGCCUAACUAUUCUGCUCUGUGUUCUCAGUAUCCUGUCAGUGUGGGGGCCUCAGUGCUCUGACUCCAGUGCUACUAAAAUCAGAUGACAUCUUCCUGAGCCACAGUAAUAUGGUGAAGCCAGGGGAUAAAUGGAGUCAGUUCAUGGGUGGUGAACCAUCUGGCAAGCAGUGAACCUGGGAAAGGCAGAGCAUAUGCUCUAGGCAAAAUCAAAUGUCUUUUCAGAUAUAAUAGCUUCUCUGUAGAUAUCUUGUCUGAAAAAGAACAACUUUGUUUUUUGGUUUUGUUCAUGAUUUAGGAAAUUCUCCUUAUUUUUUCACUGGUGUAUGUACCUUUGUAAAGUUCUGUACAUGUAUGAAGAUAGAAAAGUAGUUAUGACUUCAUUUUUUGUGGCAACUCUAUGAUAUACCAUCAGUAAUGAUGAAUUAUGUUUCAGAUAUCAACAACGUUCAAACCAAUUUAGGACUUUGUAUCUCUUUUCAUUAAUACAGUGGGUGUUUCAGAUGCCAUAACCAAAAUAUCUAAAAUAUUUCUGAGAGCUUUUUUAUGAAGUUCACGGCACAUAACUUUGCUCCUUAGGUAUAAUCGUACAAUAUAAUAUGGUAUAAUGCAGCCACUAUAAAGAUAAUAAUUGGACAGGUGGAAUUUUCCUAAUAACGUGAUCUGAGUCUGUGAAAUCGGGUCAAGUAAAUCAUAGGUAUUUCCAACAUCAAUUAAAAAUGUGUUUAAUCUUGAUUUUUCUGUAAUAUAAGCCAGUCAAAUGUGCUCUUACAGACCUAUUUCUUUAACAUAAUUGUCCUUGACAAACAGUCAACCAGGGAUGAUAAGGAAUUUCCCUGUCUCAGAUCCCAGGCUUCAUUGUUCCUCUUCUUCCUGGCUUUCAUGCCAUAUGUUACUUUGUAUCAAAUGGUGUAAUGAUUACAUAAUACAUUUUGGAAAAACAGCUCUGUUGCAUCUAUUCUUUAUUCUCUCAUCUCCCUUUCUCUCUUUGUCAUUACUGAAAAAUAAACUCUAUGGGCAAUCCUCUUUUUGCAGACUAUAUUUCACCCUUUUUUCCUAGUAACAGGGACACUGAACUGUUUGGCACUGAGAAGUUAAGGUCCAGAUAUUAGCUGUAAUUAGUCUAAUAAUUCUAGUAAUCACUGUUCUGGAACUAUAUGGUGUUUCAUUUUAGGAGGCUAGCAUUAGUGUUAUAAUUACACCUCCAUACUUUUUGAUUUUGCAGAUUGUAAUAACACUACUUUUGAACAGAUAACAUAAAUAUGCAUAAAUAUAUUAAUUAUAAACAGGAGUUUUGAGCUCGUAUUUUUUUAUUAGACAAAGUAGUGACUAAAAUUCAUCAGUACCCAUUUCUCAGUGUAUUUUUGCUUGGUUGGUUAUUAUUAUUUGUUAAAUUUAUUUACUUUGGAAGCAAUGAUAGUGCAAAACUUCGGCAUUACUGUUAGUUGAAUUGCAUACUUGCUUUCUAAGAACAUAUCCCACAACCUGGCCAUCUUUUGAUCAUAAAGAAAAAUUAUUUAAAACAGGAACUUGAUAAAUUUUAUGAAUUGUGCAGUUGUGCAAACUGUGGCGUCACUCAUUGUCAUGUUUCACUCAGCUUCAAACCUUCUUUGUGGUCACUUAGUUAUGACUGGAGCUAUUUGGAUCAUAAAUAUAACUGAGAACAUAUUCAGGAUU
rnacentral:lncRNA from 1 species